rnacentral:rRNA from 1 species
AGAGCGAACGCUGGCGGCAGGCUUAACACAUGCAAGUCGAGCGGGCACCUUCGGGUGUCAGCGGCAGACGGGUGAGUAACACGUGGGAACGUACCCUUCGGUUCGGAAUAACGCUGGGAAACUAGCGCUAAAUACCGGAUACGCCCUUUUGGGGAAAGGUUUACUGCCGAAGGAUCGGCCCGCGUCUGAUUAGCUAGUUGGUGGGGUAACGCCUACCAAGGCGACGAUCAGUAGCUGGUCUGAGAGGAUGAUCAGCCACACUGGGACUGAGACACGGCCCAGACUCCUACGGGAGGCAGCAGUGGGGAAUAUUGGACAAUGGGCGCAAGCCUGAUCCAGCCAUGCCGCGUGAGUGAUGAAGGCCUUAGGGUUGUAAAGCUCUUUUGUCCGGGACGAUAAUGACGGUACCGGAAGAAUAAGCCCCGGCUAACUUCGUGCCAGCAGCCGC